CCCUUAGAUGUUCUGGGCUGCACGCGUGCUACACUGAUAUUGCCAAUAUGUCAUUCUUAUCCGAAAUGGAUUGGGUAAUCAAGUAAUGAAAUUUCAUGCUUGGAAUCGGUAAUUGCAAUUUUAUCGUGAACGAGGAAUUCCUAGUAAGCACUAGUCAUCAGCUAAUGUUGAUUAUGUCCCUGCCCUUUGUACACACCGCCCGUCGCUACUACUGAUUGGGUGUUCAAGUGAGAUGCUUAGACCCUUGUUGCAUGGUUCAUUAUUGUGCUCCGAAAGGAAAAAGCUUCAAGCUUGAGUGUCUAGAGGAAGUAAAAGUCGUAACA
rnacentral:rRNA from 1 species